UUUUCCCAUGGACAAUUGUCCAAGGAUGUCUCCCCCAUCUUGUACUUGUGCAGAUAAUAGUUCUUGUGAAAAAGGAUGGAAGAAUUUUAAUGAAAUACAAACUCAAUGUGAGAUGGCAUCUUCAAGAGUGGGAGAGACCAAUGGGACAUAAACAAGGGCAAUUAGCACAAGGCAGACCAAGCAGCCAGGGAAAUGGUCCUUGGAAAGUAGAGGAAAAGAUUCAUUCCCUCUUUGUAAAAAUUUCUUGUUUUUGAUUUUUCUUUACUUUGUCUCUUGUGUAAAUGAAAACUUUCUAGCAAAAAGAAAAAGACAAAAGAUAUUCACUGAUGUUAA